CGCCACGCGCAACGCCCAGCGCUCACGAAUGAUGCAAAGCGCUGAAAACGCACAGCAACGUUACGUCAUUAGGACGUGGCAACCUACGAAAACAUGAAACUAUAAAACUAUUUUCAGAAAUUGGAUAAUGCAAAAGAAUAACAAAGCCUAUAAGAAAUUAUCGACGUGAUGAAUAAUCUUUAUUCCUGCUGAUUCUGGAAAUACCGAGAAAUACCGACAGACUGACACUUCCUUCAGCCUCCAGAACCAGAGAAUACCACAUAUCCUCUGUAUAUUGCAGAGGAUGAAUGCAAAUGGCCACUGCAGUUUCCAUGGCAACCUGUCUGUGAUUUCAAAUCCUGUUCAUGGUUUUGCCUCUGACUCUCCAGUCUCCCCCAUCCUGAUCCAUGCCAGGUUUUCCGCUGAGCCGAGGACUGUAUAAAAGGAAGAGGAAGAGCAGCGGUCUGUGUAGGGCUCAUUAGAGGAGUGAUUGUGGCUGCUGGUGUUUUGACUUGUUGCUGUUUUUUUGCUGUUUUUUGCUGUUGUGUUGCUUGGGUUUGUGUGUAUGACUUUAGGUUUUCCCCUUGACUUAUGGUUUGUUUUGUCUCUUAUUGGUUUGGUUGCUGGGUAAUAUAUGUUUCUUCUAUCUUGUAUAUAUUGUCCUAUAUAUAGUUACACAUUGGUGGUAGGGAGAGGCUGCCAUUUUGUUUGGGUGUGGGUUUGUCUCUGUUUAUACCAGUAUAGUCCGUGUAGUCAUUCUAUGUUUCUUUUUGUUAGCUUAGGCAGUUGUUUCUGGUGUGGUUUUGUUUGGUUUUGUUUGUUGUGUUGUCCUGGGUCACUCCUGUGCUAUUGCACCAGAUUGUUGUAUAUUUCUGUAUCUGAGCACCAAAACUUGUAAAUAUACUUGACCUUUGACCUUUGCCACCA